GAGCAGGUUCAAGGGCUGGAACAGGACAUAUCUUAAAUGCAAGCGAUUUUCGCUUUUCGCACGUCGUUUCCUCUCAACUUGUCUUAUCCCUGCCUUUUUUCAUUCUUGUAUUCCCCACUUUCGCGUUAAUGAAGCUCAAUGGACAAGUCUGAUUAGUAGGGAUGGGCCAAAAGUUUUUCUGUGGGUGGUGACUUGGUGGUGCAAUAGUAGGAAACUGAAGUACACUCGAAGACCGCAUGCACAAAGAAAAGAACCAGAAUGGGAAAGAUAUUUAAUUUCCAAUCAUCCCCUGCUCCCUGAUUCCCCAGUGAUUCUUGUUCUUCAAGUCUCAAGGUUGUCAUGAAACAGCCGGCUACUUCCGGCAACGGUUCUGCAAGCAUCUUUGCAGAAUAGCCGCGGGUUCGGCCUGAUCCUUACAACCACCGACUCAAAGGCUGACCGCCAAAGUUCAAAGUAGAGUGUUUCUGAGCCCAUACGGAACCAAGAAGCAAUCCAGCAGUUGACGAGGAUCACACAAGAAACCCGAUAGGGAACAAUCUAAUGUGUGCCGAAAUCGCCGACCCCAUGAAGAAACGGUUUUGGGCUUGGUCUACGCCCGCGGCAAACCAACCCUUGAUUGGAGAUGCAACGCUUCUUCAUGCUCUUGCUGAAAGAGGCGACCGUUGGCUUUUAAUUUUCAACUGUCGCACAGUAGAUCAUUUCAUUCGCUUUACAUCUCUCUCCUUGGCCUUUCCGGGUUUCUUUCCAUUUAGAUUUCGGGCAGC
rnacentral:sRNA from 1 species